rnacentral:rRNA from 1 species
AGAGGUGGAUAAACCGCCUUAUCAAAUCCUGAUCUUGUGAGACCUCAUUACCUAAGCCGGGCUGGGACUGGUUAGUACUUGGAUGGGAGACCGCUGGGAAUACCAGGUAAGACACUUCAC